AAAUUGAAGAGUUUGAUCAUGGCUCAGAUUGAACGCUGGCGGCAGGCCUAACACAUGCAAGUCGAACGGUAACAGGAAGCAGCUUGCUGCUUUGCUGACGAGUGGCGGACGGGUGAGUAAUGUCUGGGAAACUGCCUGAUGGAGGGGGAUAACUACUGGAAACGGUGGCUAAUACCGCAUAACGUCGCAAGACCAAAGAGGGGGACCUUCGGGCCUCUUGCCAUCAGAUGUGCCCAGAUGGGAUUAGCUGGUUGGUGAGGUAACGGCUCACCAAGGCGACGAUCCCUAGCUGGUCUGAGAGGAUGACCAGCCACACUGGAACUGAGACACGGUCCAGACUCCUACGGGAGGCAGCAGUGGGGAAUAUUGCACAAUGGGCGCAAGCCUGAUGCAGCCAUGCCGCGUGUAUGAAGAAGGCCUUCGGGUUGUAAAGUACUUUCAGCGGGGAGGAAGGUGUUGUGGUUAAUAACCGCAGCAAUUGACGUUACCCGCAGAAGAAGCACCGGCUAACUCCGUGCCAGCAGCCGCGGUAAUACGGAGGGUGCAAGCGUUAAUCGGAAUUACUGGGCGUAAAGCGCACGCAGGCGGUCUGUCAAGUCGGAUGUGAAAUCCCCGGGCUCAACCUGGGAACUGCAUUCGAAACUGGCAGGCUUGAGUCUUGUAGAGGGGGGUAGAAUUCCAGGUGUAGCGGUGAAAUGCGUAGAGAUCUGGAGGAAUACCGGUGGCGAAGGCGGCCCCCUGGACAAAGACUGACGCUCAGGUGCGAAAGCGUGGGGAGCAAACAGGAUUAGAUACCCUGGUAGUCCACGCCGUAAACGAUGUCUACUUGGAGGUUGUGCCCUUGAGGCGUGGCUUCCGGAGCUAACGCGUUAAGUAGACCGCCUGGGGAGUACGGCCGCAAGGUUAAAACUCAAAUGAAUUGACGGGGGCCCGCACAAGCGGUGGAGCAUGUGGUUUAAUUCGAUGCAACGCGAAGAACCUUACCUGGUCUUGACAUCCACAGAACUUUCCAGAGAUGGAUUGGUGCCUUCGGGAACUGUGAGACAGGUGCUGCAUGGCUGUCGUCAGCUCGUGUUGUGAAAUGUUGGGUUAAGUCCCGCAACGAGCGCAACCCUUAUCCUUUGUUGCCAGCGGUCCGGCCGGGAACUCAAAGGAGACUGCCAGUGAUAAACUGGAGGAAGGUGGGGAUGACGUCAAGUCAUCAUGGCCCUUACGACCAGGGCUACACACGUGCUACAAUGGCGCAUACAAAGAGAAGCGACCUCGCGAGAGCAAGCGGACCUCAUAAAGUGCGUCGUAGUCCGGAUUGGAGUCUGCAACUCGACUCCAUGAAGUCGGAAUCGCUAGUAAUCGUGGAUCAGAAUGCCACGGUGAAUACGUUCCCGGGCCUUGUACACACCGCCCGUCACACCAUGGGAGUGGGUUGCAAAAGAAGUAGGUAGCUUAACCUUCGGGAGGGCGCUUACCACUUUGUGAUUCAUGACUGGGGUGAAGUCGUAACAAGGUAACCGUAGGGGAACCUGCGGUUGGAUCACCUCCUUACCUUAAAGAAGC
rnacentral:rRNA from 1 species